rnacentral:rRNA from 1 species
AGCGGCGGACGGGUGAGUAACACGUGGGUAACCUGCCUGUAAGAUUGGGAUAACUCCGGGAAACCGGAGCUAAUACCGGAUAACAUUUCGAACCGCAUGGUUUGAAAUUGAAAGAUGGUUUCGGCUAUUACUUACAGAUGGACCCGCGGCGCAUUAGCUAGUUGGUGAGGUAACGGCUCACCAAGGCGACGAUGCGUAGCCGACCUGAGAGGGUGAUCGGCCACACUGGGACUGAGACACGGCCCAG